AAGAAACAGAAGUUUUUUCUCAGAGGCUUUACAGCCUCUGUGUGUUGCAUGCUAGAGCUAACUUCCCUUAGUCUGCCUUCCACCCUGUGCCCUACCCUUUACCACAUAUUCUGGAAAGAAGUCUCUGUAGCCGCCUUUGAGAAUAUAUAGCUCUGGAUAGUACAAGGUAGGAUACUGGUUCAGAGCUCUGUCUUCUUCUCUCAGAGAGCGGCACCUUUAGGAAAAAUCAAGAGAUUGUAG
rnacentral:lncRNA from 1 species